rnacentral:rRNA from 1 species
GUCUAAGGCCAUGCCACCCUGAACAUGCCCGAUCCUGUCUGAUCUCGGAAGCUAAGCAGGGUCGGGCCUGGUUAGUACGUGGAUGGGAGACCACCUAGGAAGACCAGGUGCUAUAGGCA